CUUAUACUAAAGUCCUGCCCUGUUAUACUAAACCCCUGCCCCCCUUAUAUUAAAGUCCUGCCUCCCCUUAUACUAAACCCCUGCUCCCCUUAUACUAAACCCCUGCCCCCUUAUACUAAACUCCUGCCCCCUUAUACUAAACCCCUGCCCCCUUCUACUAAACCCCUGCUCCCCUUCUACUAAACCCCUGCUCCCCUUAUACAAAACCCCUGCUCCCCUUAUACUAAAC